AUACUUACCUGGACGGGGUCAAUGGGUGAUCAAAAAGGCCCAUGGCCUAGGUUGACGACCUCCAUUGCACUACGGAGGGGCGUCCGCCUAAGGUCGGCUCAAGUAGUCGAGCCUACGUCAUAAUUUGUGCCAGUGAGGGCCUGCGUUCGCGCGGCCCUCGU